CCGCGUCGACACCUCCCUCUCGCCCACGUCGACACCUCCCUCUCGGCCGCUUCGCAGCCUCCCUUCUCCUCUUGUCGCCGCCUCUCCCUCUCCUCGCCCGCGUUGUCUAGCCAAAAUUGUUUUUUUAGUGAGGUCAGGAUGAGCGGGAGGAGCGCGUUCGUCCCCCGCGCCGACGUCAGCGUCGAGGAAUAAGCAGGUGGAGGGCAUGGCGGAGCGCCGCCGCCGCAAGCACCUCAAUGACCUUCGCUCCGUCUUACUCCAAGAUCUAGAAGGUCACACAUUGCCGCCAAUGGAGCAGAGCAAAAGGAGGAGGGCGACACCCAGGGAGAGGGGCGGUAGGAACACGAGCGAGCGGCUGUUUUAGAUGAGGAGGAGCGGAGGCAGCGAUGACAUGGUGCAGGCGACCUUCCAUCUGUUGCUGACCAGUGGAGGAGGAGCAGGAGGACGUCGGCGCCGUCAGAAUGUGGAGAACAAUCAAUUUGCAGGAUCAAUCCCAGAGAAGAUGCUCAGCGUCCCUAAAUUAGUGCAGAAGACAGGACAACCACGUAACCAUUCAAUUUCUGCAUAAGAAAGGACAACCAUUUAACCAUUCUGAUCCACGGUUCCUCUCCGACGACAGUGAGUUGCUGUUUGUACUCCAUGUUCUUUUGCUUGUACUGCUAGUGGUUAUGCUUGUGCUGCUAUAUCUUCUGGUGCUGCUAGAUUAAUAUGAGUAGGAGUAGAGUACAUGCAGUAGUUAGAGUGCUUGCUCAGAGUAGGAUUUUUGUUA